GACGAACGCUGGCGGCGUGCUUAACACAUGCAAGUCGAACGGAAAGGCCCUGCUUGCAGGGUACUCGAGUGGCGAACGGGUGAGUAACACGUGGGUGAUCUGCCCUGCACUUCGGGAUAAGCCUGGGAAACUGGGUCUAAUACGGGAUAGGAGCCAUUUUUAGUGUGAUGGUUGGAAAGUUUUUUCGGUGUAGGAUGAGCUCGCGGCCUAUCAGCUUGUUGGUGGGGUAAUGGCCUACCAAGGCGGCGACGGGUAGCCGGCCUGAGAGGGUGGACGGCCACAUUGGGACUGAGAUACGGCCCAGACUCCUACGGGAGGCAGAAGUGGGGAAUAUUGCACAAUGGGCGCAAGCCUGAUGCAGAGACGCCGCGUGGGGGAUGACGGACUUCGGGUUGUAAACUCCUUUCGCUAGGGACGAAGCUUUUUGUGACGGUACCUAGAUAAGAAGCACCGGCUAACUACGUG
rnacentral:rRNA from 1 species